ACAGCCCAGCGCAUAACCUCCCGGGCUACCAAGCCUGCGGCGGAAUGUUGCGUUAAAGGAAAGGUCGUUUUUAAGCCCUGCACAACGUAGUCAUAAGUUUGGCUUGAAUAUUCACUGUUUCUUAACGGAAACAUCGGCUCCACAGAGGGUGACAGACCCGUGUUGCUACGUGAAUGUGUGCGUGGGUUCGGCUUUUUUCCUUGAGAGUCGCGUUGCUUGAACAUGCAGCGCUAAGCAGGUCGUAAACUCGACCUAAGGCUAAAUAUUUCCACAGAACCGAUAGUAAACAAGUACCGUGAGGGAAAGUUGAAAAGCACUCUGAAGAGAGAGUCAAAAGACCGUGAAACCGUUUACAGUAUAAGCCAAUGGUAAUUCGGAAGGCUUGGAGCAAGCUUAUCCGCUAUCCAUCCCAAUGGACAAGGCUAUCGUGUGUGAUUAUAUGAAGGUAAUGAGCGAGUGGCAUUGAGUUGAUAACACACUGAGCAAACAUGCGGGUCUCUGACAGUGGUAACAGGGAAGGUUCUUGAGGAUCCGACCCGAGGCUGGGCUUGAGCAUGGGCUGGCUUCUAGUCACACAUUAACGAGUUGCUUUCACACAGCCCACCUGUAACUCUUUACGAGGUCACCCGUACGGACGCGACUGUUGUGCUUCGGUUGCGUCUCCGAUGAUCUUAUCGCGUGGUAUCGGACGGUCCGUCGCCUCGUGUCCCAGACGUGCGAUUGGUAUGAUCCUCUGUGAAGGUUUCUUUCUGACCAUCCUAAACCCUGAAUUGUCCGAAUGGCUGCCCUAGGAGGCCUUCAUGGGCGAUUGUCAGAUUGUUGUUAUCGGCGACGUUGGGGGAGGAUGAUAGGUGUCUAAAUCCGGAGCCAUUGGUCACGUCUCGAAACACGGGCCAAGGAGCAUAGCAUGUGCGCAAGUCUAAGGGUCUCACAAAACCCGGAGGCGAAGUGAAAGCGAAUGGUGUGUCUGUCGAUAGCCUCACGGCUGUCGGCAGGCAGCGUCCGUCGAGCGUAAUUCCUGCGCGGAUGAAUGCGUCGCUGAUUGCUCAUACCGAGUUGAUCUCUGCGCAGCCUACAUGGCGUGCGUGGAUGCAAACUCCAGACUCUAUAAUGGGCGUGCUGCGUUUUCUCAGAGUACUGUGUAGCGUGUAUGCUAUGACCCGAAAGAUAGUGAACUAUGCCUGGCGA
rnacentral:rRNA from 1 species